UGUGAGUCAAGCUGGAAACAAAUGGUGUCU
rnacentral:piRNA from 1 species